GGCCUUUAAUUCAAUUAUGAUUUUAGACUGCAAUUCUAAAGGUGUAAAGAAUUUUACUAAGGCCU
rnacentral:tRNA from 1 species